GCGCAUGCGCAGAGUAUCGGCGCUACUUCUCCAGGCUCUGCUACACUCUCCCAGCCAGGCAGCCGGAGACGCCGCGGUCAGGCUUUGCCACGAGUGACAGGCUCUCGCGCGACAGAACGACCCCUCAGGGUACCUGAGCCGAAAUGAAUCCCUCAUACACAGUUUUCUCCCGGUUCUGAGGAAGUAGCAGCGGGAAAUGGCGCAACAGGCUUGCUUCUGCUUCGUCCAUGGCGCACAGGAAUGGCCGCCGCACAUGCGCAGUCUGCAAAGGGACGGGGCGGAAACCCGCUUCGGCGGGAAAAACUAACUGGUGGGUACGCUGCCCUGACCUGGACAAUGAACUGGGCCAACUGGUCUGCUUAGUAGCAGGAGAAAGCAGGAGAAAGGAAGAUCACUCACAAGUCCACAGGCCUGACGGUUCAGGAUUAUUCUGACCUUGACUGUCAAAAAAUAAAACUAGCAAAAUCCUCUUGUUGAUUUCAUUGAAGACUGAUGCAACUCCAAAGCUGACUUUCCUACUUUGACAGGGCAUUUACAGUGUGCCCAUAGCAUACUGUUUUUACCCUGAACCUGCCCCAUCACCUCUCCUGUUCUUGCGUUUGCUCUGGACUAGAUCUCCUGUAUACUCCCAGUAUACCCUUCAACCAAAUGCAUAUGUAAAUAAAUUGUACAUUCAAUACAUCAUGUAUAUUGUAUGCUGAUUCAGUGUUGUACUGUUUUUAAUUAGAUAUAUUUAAAGGAAGCCCAUAGAAAUUGUGAGAGAUUCAAUUUAUUCUUGAGGUGGUAGACUGACAAAAUUUCCUAUACAUUCUGGUAACUUAGAAAUGGUUACUCAUUCACUCAUUUCUAAAUAUAGAUUUAAGAAAACGUGGGGGGAGGGGGUGUUGAUUGUGUAAGAAACUUGUUAAUAGUUACCAUAUGAUAAUUUGGCAUUAGAAUAAGUCACUUUUGAUUCUACUAUUUUUAAGAUCACUGUAAUAUGUUAGUAAGUAAGAUUGUGCAAAGAUGAAUAAGAUAUUCUUCCUAUUCUUAUUGCCCUCAUUGAAGAUUGGAUUUUAAAAGAUUAAUAGAUUGGCAGAAUUUGUCACAAUAUUCUGAAUGCUUGAAGAACACAAGAAUGUUGUACUUGUUACACUAAGACUGUGGUUCGCAACCUUCUUAGUGACCCCCCCCAACCAUAAAAUUAUGUUGUUGCUUCUUUGUAACCGUAAUUUUGCUACUGUUAUGAAUCACAAUUUAAGUGUUUUUGGAGAACCAGUAUGAUAAGACUUUCUCAAAAUGUGACUCAGAUUGCAGUGUUGUCAGCACUAAAAAAAAAAAAAAAAAAAAAAGGUACACAACUUUAUACAAGUGUUACAGCUCUGAGGAGAAAGGUUUCCCCAAUGCAAGUGUUGCAACUCUGAGGAGAAAGGUAUCCUGGCAGUCUGGAGCCAAAGAAUAUUACACAAUCCCACAAUACAACAGACCUCACACAAGAAGAUUAUUAGAAAAAAUACAGGAGGAUGGCUGCAUCUGCUUGGGGAAAAAGCAGCAAAGAACUAAGCUAGAAACAGGCUUUACACAGGGAUUCUUUGGGAGUUUUUCAGGGUGGGGAUUGGUGGGACUCCAAGUUUGAGUUUUAGGCUAUCUCAGGGAUUGGUGGGUUUUCAAGCAAAGGGAUUGGUAAGUGAGCUAGGACACUUUUUUUUACCAUACAAUUAAGGAAACAAAAGUUUACCACUGAGGGAUUCGGGGCAUACAACCUUGGCAUUUGAAUAAACAACAAAACCUAGAUCAAUCCAAUCACCUCUGGCCCCCCACAGCAGCUCCUGAAAUACUCACUUCAGAUUGCCUUCUUUAUGCCUGGAAUAAACAACUCUCCCUGACUCUGAAGAGGCAAGGACAGGGAAAAGAAGCUACAUAUGAAUUGCUAAAAUUGCCCCAGUUUGUAACUAUUAGAUCAUACCUCCUUAGUAUAGUCAUACUGUCUUAUUAAAAAAAAAAAAAAAAAAAAAAAAAGGUUUCUAUGUUGCAUUGAAUCUCAGUUUGUUAGUUUUAUAUGCCAUAGAAAUUGUACUAAACAAAUUUUAUGCUUUUGUUAAUUUGUCUGAAAAUUUAUGUACUCUUUUAUUUUUCUGGAUUUUCAUCAUGUAUCAUUUUAACCCAGCAUUAAUUCCUCAUGUCCUCCUAAAGUGUCUGAAAUAGAAUUUUUUUCUCAGCUCAUGCUAAAUAGAAAUGAAAUGCAAAAGAAAACAACUUUACCCAUGGGAAACUUGUACAACGUUUUAAAGGCUUUUUUACUGUUUAACUUAUUGAAAAAAAGAUGCUACUGUGGUACUUGA
rnacentral:lncRNA from 1 species